AUCCAGAUCGUCCCUACAAAGACGAAUGAGACACUUCAGAGCUGCUGGAAGUGCUGCUCAAAUUUUAAAAAGGGGCACAUUGAACAGAAACACUGUACAACAACCCAUAUUAAUCAAUAAUCUAACUGGAUCCUACUACAUCAUUGCCAUCACAUGGGGAAAUCCAAAGGGAAACAUCCUGAACCUGUCAGCGACCUGGUGGUGUGGAAGCCCAAAACUAUGGGGAAAAGGAUCACUUCCAGAUCCUGACAUACUGGCAUCAGGAGAAAAACUUCGCCAGCCGCAGUGCCAACCACUUAUGGCCCUUGGUCUUUCAAAUUUGGAGCUGGUUCCAUCCAGAUUUGGGUCUGUGCCACAGGGCUCACCAAUGUCCCAUCAGUGCCCACCUGACUAGUCCUCUGGUAGCAUCAUUCUGCACCACAUGACUCCAGACUUCCCUUCUCUUCCUUUGAUGCUACGUAGUCUUCCGAAUAUGGGUUUU